UUUUAUGUUAUAUUAAAUAUUAUUAUUUUGUUUAUUUUAAUAUAAAUAAUUAAUAUUUUAAUAACAGAUUAAUAGUGUUUAACUAUUUGAGAGAGAGCGAUAACAGGUCUGUGAUGCCCUUAGAUGUCCGGGGCUGCACGCGCGCUACAAUGUAGUGAUCAUUAUGUUCCUGUUUAGAGAUAAAUGGGUAAACAUUGAAAACAUUACGUAACUGGGAGUGAAAAUUGCAAUUAUUUUUCAUGAACGAGGAAUUCCAAGUAAACGU
rnacentral:misc_RNA from 1 species